rnacentral:rRNA from 1 species
UGGGGAAUUUUGGACAAUGGGCGAAGGCCUGAUCCAGCAAUGCCGCGUGUGUGAAGAAGGCCUUCGGGUUGUAAAGCACUUUUGUCCGGAAAGAAAUCCUUGGCUCUAAUACAGUCGGGGGAUGACGGUACCGGAAGAAUAAGCACCGGCUAACUACGUGCCAGCAGCCGCGGUAAUACGUAGGGUGCAAGCGUUAAUCGGAAUUACUGGGCGUAAAGCGUGCGCAGGCGGUUUGCUAAGACCGAUGUGAAAUCCCCGGGCUCAACCUGGGAACUGCAUUGGUGACUGGCAGGCUAGAGUAUGGCAGAGGGGGGUAGAAUUCCACGUGUAGCAGUGAAAUGCGUAGAGAUGUGGAGGAAUACCGAUGGCGAAGGCAGCCCCCUGGGCCAAUACUGACGCUCAUGCACGAAAGCGUGGGGAGCAAACAGGAUUAGAUACCCUGGUAGUCCACGCCCUAAACGAUGUCAACUAGUUGUUGGGGAUUCAUUUCCUUAGUAACGUAGCUAACGCGUGAAGUUGACCGCCUGGGGAGUACGGUCGCAAGAUUAAAACUCAAAUGAAUUGACGGGGUCAUAGCUGUUUCCU